AUUGAACGCUGGCGGCAGGCCUAACACAUGCAAGUCGAGCGGAUGAAGGGAGCUUGCUCCUGGAUUCAGCGGCGGACGGGUGAGUAAUGCCUAGGAAUCUGCCUGGUAGUGGGGGAUAACGUCCGGAAACGGGCGCUAAUACCGCAUACGUCCUGAGGGAGAAAGUAGGGGAUCUUCGGACCUCACGCUAUCAGAUGAGCCUAGGUCGGAUUAGCUAGUUGGUGGGGUAAAGGCCUACCAAGGCGACGAUCCGUAACUGGUCUGAGAGGAUGAUCAGUCACAAUGGAACUGAGACACGGUCCAGACUCCUAAGGGAGGCAGCAGUGGGGAAUAUUGGACCAUGGGCGAAAGCCUGAUCCAGCCAUGCCGCGUGUGUGAAGAAGGUCUUCGGAUUGUAAAGCACUUUAAGUUGGGAGGAAGGGCAGUAAGUUAAUACCUUGCUGUUUUGACGUUACCAACAGAAUAAGCACCGGCUAACUUCGUG
rnacentral:rRNA from 1 species